rnacentral:rRNA from 1 species
AUUGAACGCUGGCGGCAUGCCUUACACAUGCAAGUCGAACGGUAACGCGGGGCAACCUGGCGACGAGUGGCGAACGGGUGAGUAAUGCAUCGGAACGUGCCCAGUAGUGGGGGAUAGCCCGGCGAAAGCCGGAUUAAUACCGCAUACGACCUACGGGUGAAAGCGGGGGACCGUAAGGCCUCGCGCUAUUGGAGCGGCCGAUGUCAGAUUAGCUAGUUGGUGGGGUAAAAGCCUACCAAGGCGACGAUCUGUAGCUGGUCUGAGAGGACGACCAGCCACACUGGGACUGAGACACGGCCCAGACUCCUACGGGAGGCAGCAGUGGGGAAUUUUGGACAAUGGGGGCAACCCUGAUCCAGCCAUGCCGCGUGC